CCCUGUGUCGAAAGUGACUGUGGCCUUUUUGAUAGUACAGGAACAGUGAAAUGAGAGCCUUUCCCGUGUUUGAUGGGCCCUUUGUCCCUACCAAACCCUGGUUCUCUCAUACA
rnacentral:snoRNA from 13 species